UGCACCUCUCCUAGACCCAUUUAAGAGCUGACUGCCAGUGGGGAAGGAUAUUUUUCUGGAGAUUCUCUCUGCUGGAGCUUCACCAGCAAGCCCAGGUUAUGGACUUCUCCUUACAACGAUAUGAUUCUAAUGAUUUCGACCAGACUGCCUUGGGGCCCUACCUCUCAGGAACUGAGUGCUGGAAAACUUCCACUGGAAAAA